rnacentral:rRNA from 1 species
UGGGGAAUAUUGGACAAUGGGCGAAAGCCUGAUCCAGCAAUGCCGCGUGGGUGAAGAAGGUCUUCGGAUUGUAAAGCCCUUUCGACAGGGACGAUGAUGACGGUACCUGUAGAAGAAGCCCCGCUAACUUCGUGCCAGCAGCCGCGGUAAUACGAAGGGGGCGUAGCGUUGUUCGGAAUCACUGGGCGUAAAGCGCACGUAGGCGGAUGUGCCAGUCAGGGGUGAAAUCCCGGAGCUCAACUUCGGAACUGCCUUUGAUACUGAAGAUCUUGAGUCCGGGAGAGGUGAGUGGAACUGCGAGUGUAGAGGUGAAAUUCGUAGAUAUUCGGAGGAACACCAGUGGCGAAGGCGGCUCACUGGCUCGAUACUGACGCUGAGGUGCGAAAGCGUGGGGAGCAAACAGGAUUAAUACCC